rnacentral:pre_miRNA from 1 species
CAUAUACUCCCUCCGUCCCAAAAUAAGUGUCACUGAUUUAGUACAAAGUUAGUAUCGGUGACACUUAUUUUGGGACGGAGGGAGUACAUC